AUUGAACGCUGGCGGCAGGCUUAACACAUGCAAGUCGAGCGAGCGGCGGACGGGUGAGUAAUGUCUGGGAAACUGCCUUAUGGAGGGGUAUAACUACUGGAAACGGUAGCUAAUACCGCAUACCAUCAGAUGUGCCCAGAUGGGAUUAGCUAGUGGGUGGUGUAAUGGCUCACCUAGGCGACGAUCCCUAGCUGGUCUGAGAGGAUGACCAGCCAAACUGGAACUGAGACACGGUCCAGACUCCUACGGGAGGCAGCAGUGGGGAAUAUUGCACAAUGGGCGCAAGCCGGAUGCAGCCAUGCCGCGUGUGUGAAGAAGGCCUUCGGGUUGUAAAGUACUUUCAGCGAGGAGGCGUUACGCGCAGAAGAAGCACCGGCUAACUCCGUGCCAGCAGCCGCGGUAAUAC
rnacentral:rRNA from 1 species